UACAGAGGUCUCGAGCGUUAGGCGGAAUCACUGGGCUUAAAGCGUGUGUAGGCGGGUCGUUAAGUGCCUUGUGAAAUCCCCAUGGCUCAACCAUGGAACUGCUGGGCAUACUGGCGAUCUUGUGCCACCUAGGGGCGAGCGGAACAGAUGGUGGAGCGGUGAAAUGCGUAGAUAUCAUCUGGAACGCCAAUGGUGAAAACAGCUCGCUGGGGGUGUGCAGACGCUGAGACACGAAAGCCAGGGGAGCGAACGGG
rnacentral:rRNA from 1 species